GGGGUGGGAUUUUAGAUCUGGAGGUGCAUCCCAAGUCCAAGGAAGUGGGGAACGUGGACUAGGUCUUUGGUUCAGCCUUUUUUGGUGCGUAGCGAUCUAGGGCAUGAAGUUUGUAGCCUUUAGAGAGUCCAGAUCACCAUAGACUCUUGUGGAAGGCUCUAUUGCAGGUCUCUUCAGGUCCAUGUAGGUGUAUGAUGGUCCUAACAGUUGGCAUUAGAAUCUGUUGAGCAUGGAGGAGGAAGAAGAGGAGAUCAAGGAGUUUUCUAUAGUAGAGGAUCAAUAGUGA
rnacentral:lncRNA from 1 species